rnacentral:rRNA from 1 species
AUAAUGGGUCAGCGACUUAUAUUCUGUAGCAAGGUUAACCGAAUAGGGGAGCCGAAGGGAAACCGAGUCUUAACUGGGCGUUAAGUUGCAGGGUAUAGACCCGAAACCCGGUGAUCUAGCCAUGGGCAGGUUGAAGGUUGGGUAACACUAACUGGAGGACCGAACCGACUAAUGUUGAAAAAUUAGCGGAUGACUUGUGGCUGGGGGUGAAAGGCCAAUCAAACCGGGAGAUAGCUGGUUCUCCCCGAAAGCUAUUUAGGUAGCGCCUCGUGAAUUCAUCUCCGGGGGUAGAGCACUGUUUCGGCAAGGGGGUCAUCCCGACUUACCAACCCGAUGCAAACUGCGAAUACCGGAGAAUGUUAUCACGGGAGACACACGGCGGGUGCUAACGUCCGUCGUGAAGAGGGAAACAACCCAGACCGCCAGCUAAGGUCCCAAAGUCAUGGUUAAGUGGGAAACGAUGUGGGAAGGCCCAGACAGCCAGGAUGUUGGCUUAGAAGCAGCCAUCAUUUAAAGAAAGCGUAAUAGCUCACUGGUCGAGUCGGCCUGCGCGGAAGAUGUAACGGGGCUAAACCAUGCACCGAAGCUGCGGCAGCGACGCUGAUGCGUUGUUGGGUAGGGGAGCGUUCUGUAAGCCUGUGAAGGUGUGCUGUGAGGCAUGCUGGAGGUAUCAGAAGU